CUACACAUGCAGUCGAGGGGUAGAGUUCUUCGGAACUUGAGACCGGCGCACGGGUGCGUAACGCGUAUGCAAUCUACCUUAUACAGGGGAAUAGCCCAGAGAAAUUUGGAUUAAUGCCCCAUAGUGUUAUAGAAUCGCAUGGUUUUAUAACUAAAGUUCCAACGGUAUAAGAUGAGCAUGCGUCCCAUUAGUUAGUUGGUAAGGUAACGGCUUACCAAGACAAUGAUGGGUAGGGGUCCUGAGAGGGAGAUCCCCCACACUGGUACUGAGACACGGACCAGACUCCUACGGGAGGCAGCAGUGAGGAAUAUUGGUCAAUGGGCGCAAGCCUGAACCAGCCAUGCCGCGUGCAGGAAGACGGUCCUAUGGAUUGUAAACUGCUUUUAUACAGGAAGAAACCUCCCUACGUGUAGGGACUUGACGGUACUGUAGGAAUAAGGAUCGGCUAACUCCGUGCCAGCAGCCGCGGUAAUACGGAGGAUCCAAGCGUUAUCCGGAAUCAUUGGGUUUAAAGGGUCCGUAGGCGGCCUUAUAAGUCAGUGGUGAAAUCUCCUAGCUCAACUAGGAAACUGCCAUUGAUACUGUAGGGCUUGAAUUUUUGUGAAGUAACUAGAAUAUGUAGUGUAGCGGUGAAAUGCUUAGAUAUUACAUGGAAUACCAAUUGCGAAGGCAGGUUACUAACAAACGAUUGACGCUGAUGGACGAAAGCGUGGGGAGCGAACAGGAUUAGAUACCCUGGUAGUCCACGCCGU
rnacentral:rRNA from 1 species